AUUGAACGCUGGCGGCAUGCUUUACACAUGCAAGUCGAACGGUAACAGGCCGCAAGGUGCUGACGAGUGGCGAACGGGUGAGUAAUGCAUCGGAGCGUGCCCAGUCGUGGGGGAUAACGCAGCGAAAGCUGCGCUAAUACCGCAUACGAUCUAUGGAUGAAAGCGGGGGACCGUAAGGCCUCGCGCGAUUGGAGCGGCCGAUGUCAGAUUAGGUAGUUGGUGGGGUAAAGGCUCACCAAGCCAACGAUCUGUAGCUGGUCUGAGAGGACGACCAGGCACACUGGGACUGAGACACGGCCCAGACUCCUACGGGAGGCAGCAGUGGGGAAUUUUGGACAAUGGGCGCAAGCCUGAUCCAGCAAUGCCGCGUGCAGGAAGAAGGCCUUCGGGUUGUAAACUGCUUUUGUACGGAACGAAACGGUCCUGGUUAAUACCUGGGGCUAAUGACGGUACCGUAAGAAUAAGCACCGGCUAACUACGUGCCAGCCGCCGCCGUAA
rnacentral:rRNA from 1 species